rnacentral:tRNA from 1 species
UUUAAUAUGGCAGAAUUAAGUGCAUUGGAUUUAAAUCCCAAAUAUAAAGAUAUAUAUAUAUUCCUCUUUUAUUAAAA